UACGAAGGGGGCUAGCGUUGUUCGGAAUUACUGGGCGUAAAGGGCGCGUAGGCGGCUUCGCUAGUCGGGCGUGAAAUGCCUGGGCUUAACCCGGGAAUUGCGUUCGAUACUUCGAGGCUAGAGUGCGGGAGAGGUUGGUGGAAUUCCCAGUGUAGAGGUGAAAUUCGUAGAUAUUGGGAAGAACACCGGUGGCGAAGGCGGCCAACUGGACCACAACUGACGCUGAGGGAGCGAAAGCCAGGGGAGCAAACGGG
rnacentral:rRNA from 1 species